CAGCCGCCGCGGGAAUACAGAGGUCCCGAGCGUUGUUCGGAUUCACUGGGCGUAAAGGGUGUGUAGGAGGCUAGGUAAGUCAGUUGUGAAAUCCCAUCGCUUAACGAUGGAACUGCAAUCGAUACUGCUUGGCUAGAGGAUCGGAGGGGGAAGCGGAAUUCUUGGUGUAGCGGUGAAAUGCGUAGAUAUCAAGAGGAACACCGGUGGCGAAGGCGGCUUCCUGGAAGAUUCCUGACUCUGAAACACGAAAGCUAGGGGAGCGAAUGGGAUUAGAGACCCCAGUAGUCCCUGUCUCUUAUAC
rnacentral:rRNA from 1 species